rnacentral:pre_miRNA from 1 species
CAACUACUCCCUCUAUCCCAAAUUUCUUGUCUUAGAUUUGACUAGAUACGGAUGUAUCUAAUACUAAAAUGUGACUUGAUACAUCCGUAUCUAGACAAAUCUAAGACAAGAAUUUUGGGACGGAGGGAGUACUUU